GCACAUGUUUUUAUGACUAGAGCCUCCGGAGCCACAGCUUCCCGACCUACGUGGAGCUUCCGUCUCUUUUCUGUAUAUAAAUCGCUUCCCCAACCCCAUGCCAAAGAGAACUCCAAAUAACAACACAAGCUUAGCUUUUGCUUUAGAAGUUUCUAGAAUUUAGUUGAUGCUAUUGGAGCUAUCAUGAACUGAUACAGUCCCCGUGGGGAGUGACUGUAUGAGCUCGAACUGGACUUGGACAUUUCUCCAGCCCUCUGUGGUUCCAGUUGAGAACUUCAAAAUCUUUCAGAGCGACUCAUGCUGCCAGAGGGUGGAGGAGUGGACCUUGAAAUGACAAGUGACAGUUCCUCAGCAGUAGCAUCUCCUGCUUUCUCAGCCUGGUGACCUGACCCGGCAGCACGCCCACUGGGCACCUGUGCCCACCUGGGGAUGGGGUCUCGUCCUGCCUGUGUGACCCUUCCUCCUGACAGCCAUCUCUAGAGACAGCCAGUGAGGGCAGGGCAACAGGCAGUGCAUGUUCUUUCCACAUCUCCAUGACUGAUUCUGGCCAGGAGGAGGCUGGCUUUCUGGAUCCCACCAACAUCACAUAGGGGACCUUUUCAAUCUACCUCCUACCUCCCCUCCAGUCGUGAUUUGAUUCUGGAAUUUAAGAAGCGGAGAAAGAGCCUAGUUCAAAUUCAAGAAUUUCCAUCUAAAACCACAGCAUGGAGAGGCCCCUUUAAAAACCACCUAACCCAGCUCUUUCAUCAAACAGAUGAAGAAACUUACCUAAAGAUGUUAAGUGGUUUGCCCAAAUUGCAAAGCCUGAUAUAUGGGAAAAUACUUCCAUGGGAAAUAAGAAAAUGAUAAAUUUAAAAAAAAUUUUAAAUGAGGCUCUAAUUCCUGAAAAAUGACUUACUUAAACUGGGGACUGGGCAGAAAAUAAUAUUGUAGAAGGUAGAACAGCAUUUCUUUGGGAGGAUUUAUCUUUUUAAGUAUAUAGUGGUCUUCUACCACUAUCCUACAACAGGUUGCAGGACAAAUAAUGUAUUUUAAUCUUUGGGGGAGUCUUUGUGUAAGUCAGACCUUAUUCAUUUUCAUUCCAACAACACUCGCAGCCAUUGGAUCCUAAUUAUCACAUCUAAUAAGGCUGAUGGCUAAUCAGCUUGCCUUUUUAAGAAAAAAAGGCCGGGCACGGUGGCUUAUGCCUGUAAUCCCAGCACUUUGGGAGGCCGAGGCAGGUGGAUCAUGAGGUCAGAAGAUCGAGACCAUCCUGGCUAACACGGUGAAACCCCGUCUCUACUACAAAUACAAAAAAAUUAGCCGGGUGCGGUGGCGGGCGCCUGUAGUCCCAGCUACUCGGGAGGCUGAGGCGGAAGAAUGGCGUGAACCCGGGAGGCGGAGCUUCCUGGGCGACAGAACGAGACUCUGUCUCCAAAAAAAACACAAAUGACAUUCCAUUAUAAGUUUCUGCUGCAAAAGAAAGUUGGGAAAUUUGUUUAGAUACUUUAAAUAGUCCUAAGAUUAGCUGAAAUGCCGGUAACAAACGUGCAAUGAACAUUUUCUUGGGGGCAUUCAGCAACAAAGUGAAUCGUCCUUAAAAAAAAUCCAUACAACUAAAGCGAGUCUCACCACGGGAACCACAGGAGCUGUUUUAGUGAGGGGCUGGAGUGUCUGUUACAGGCGGCACUUUUGCGGCUGUUGCUGCAUUAGUCAGAUUGCACUCGAGAUGAAUGAGGAAGAAUAAAGUCUUCACCAAAAACCUGUCUUGGCUAACAGUUCUGAAUUUAUAGCCCUGGCAGUGGGGGCGGGGGCUGGGGGCGGGGCUGGGAGGAGGGGAAGAAAUGUGUCACCCGCUCUGAAUGAAGUUCAGGGGUGGUGUUUACCUAAGCAACAAACCCUUGUCAACAAUCGCUAUCUCUGGCUUGCCAGCGGAGGAGGUGGGGGAGUGAGGCUGUUUUGAUCAAAAUCCAACCUGUGGCUGCAAAGUGCCCAUCAACAGGGCACUUUGUUAGUGGGAACGUGCGACCUCUCUUAAUAAACAUAACAUACACAUCCCACUGAGGGCCACGGGUGGACCCAACUUCUUAACAGGAACAUUGAGCACAUGAAACCAGAAGGUGCUGGGUCCAAUUUCCACCCUCAGCCAACCCUAUCUGUGAAUGUCUCUACAUGUGAGCCAGCCAGGGCUCAACUCUUUGCUCUUCUGAAAUUCUUAGGCAGCAGAAAUGAAGGCAUCGUGCUGAAAAGCGCUCCAGAAAUUGCGGAUUUAUCAGUGAUGUACGGUAGUAGGUUGGACAAGUAAUGAUUUUCUGAACACCAGGAAUUAGAUCAAAAAAGAAAUUCCACUUAAGACUAAAAUAAGUCUCCAGUUGAGAGCAGUCUAGGACAUAUUCGAAUGGCCAGAAGUUUGUUUCAAUGGGGCCUCUGCGUUUGUGCAGCCUGGGAGUCAACAUUACAAUAUUGGUUCUUUCAAGCAGAUCCCGAGUGGAUCCAUGUCUGCCUGUUGUGGCAAAUCAAACUCAAAUUUAAUCAGAGAAAAAUAUAUGCAGAUGUUCAAUUAAAACCUGGAGUCCGCAGUCUUGGCACUGUUUGCCCGGCCCUCAUUGUUUGCUAAGUAACAACGGUUGCCAGGGGCAACGCAGUCCACUCCCGUUUCCAAGAGCCUGUUGCUGGGCAACCGGGAGAAUACUUCCCAAACCAAACAAUGUCAUCCCGGAGCAACCCCCUCUAUCUCACAUUAACCAGAUCUAAAAAAAACCCUCUCAAAUAUGUAAUCUAUUAUUUUCAGAAGCCCUAAGAGAAAGGCAAAUAAUCUCUUCUCUAUAGUAACUGAGGGGAAAACAGUUUACCAUAUUUGUUCUGAAAUAACAAAACCCAAGGAGGAACAACUCUCUCUGAGGUAAGAGGGCAUCACAGGAGGGAUUUCAAUCCUUCCUAGUACUGGGAGGAGAAAGUGCCCUUUUCUCCAAGAGGAAAGAAUCUAUUUAUCAUCAAACAAACAAUGUGGGAGAGUUCAUAGCUGCACAAGUGUUUUCUGGGCGAAGUAAAAUGAAUCAUGGAUUAAGCUAUUUGGAAAAAAGUGUGAAAACAGAGGAGUUGAUACCAAAUUAAAACGACUUUUGGAAAUAUCAUGUACGUAUGGAACAAGUGCAAAGGGAACCACUGACUCAGCGUCAGAAAUGCCUUGUGGGGCUUUGCCGGGAGGGACUUACAGUAUAUCUUUGACAUCACUGCGCCGGCUCUUCCCUCCCUACCCGGAGAGAGGAAGACUUUUCUAAGAGGAAGCCAGGCCACAUCAGAUGCCCCCAGAUGGCAGGACACACAAGGGACACAUAUCUCCGGAAAGAGGAGGCACAUGGUUGGGCAAUCUCGACCCAUGAAGGGGGAAAAGAAAAGGGCUAAACUGAAGCUAGUGCAGCUUUUGUUCUGCCUGGAGCAGUUCAGGCUGAGCAUGGCUUCUCUGAGGCUUUGGGACCAGGAGAGGGUGAAGUGGCACCACCACCUUUCAAGGGGAACACAGAGCUCUAAGCAGUGCUCUUGUUUUUGGUGGGCCCAGCCAAGGAUCUUAAAACAUUUUGAUAGAAUGAGCAACAUGUAGCUGCAGCCUCGAUGGGUCAACAUUUUGGAUGAUAAAAGCACACAAUGCUGAUAGAUUUGUGCAUGACCAAGCAUACCUUUCAAGGAGCUCUCAGCGGAGGUUUGCCCUUUGAGACAGACACAGUCAGUGCACAGAAACUGUUUUUUUAAGAUAUCAUCCAGGAGUCAUUCCUAGAAUAGGAAUGGAAUAGACAUGCCUCCCUGAGAAGAAAGGAAGACAGAUUCUAUACUGUUAGAAUUUGAAUCUGUGUUGCAGGGAGAUGAGGAAUUUGAAGCCAGACUCUUGGGCUGUUAAUGUAUGGCUAAGUGGUGAUGUGGUGACAACCUUGAAUGCUAGUCCUGGAGGUCAAAUCACCAGCAGCUGGUGCCAUGGGAGGCUUUGCUUAGGGGACACGGCUGGGUUCUGCCUGGAUGCUGCAUCCCAAGGGAGGCAUUGAGGUGCGGCUGUGAGGACUCCAAACCCCAUGUCCAGAAGGAUGAGUAACAGAGAUCCUGUGUCAUUCAUUGAUUUCAAUAAAAUAUUUAUUGGAUCCAUAGCAUGGGCCUGGCAUUGACCAGUCAUCAAAACACAAUUCCCUGCCCUCAUGGAGUUUCUAUUCUAGACCAUGCGGGAGGAUAGGAGCAUAUGGACAGUAAACAAGAAAUCCAGUCCUUCCAUGAGACCUCGGUACACACAGAACUCCUCCUACCACGUGCAACCUUAUUCUCGGCUGAGCAACUCAUAAAUCGCAUAACAAAAACAGUGAUUGAUGCGGACUGUGUUUAGUGCCAUCCUUGCCGGUGAGAGGGAGUGAGCCAGCAAGCUUCCUUAAAUCUCUUUAGUUCUCCAAAAGGAGAGGCCAUUUGCCUUCUCAUCUAUGCCGCAAGUUUCUGGGGCUUGCAUCAUUAACCUGGUGGCUUUGCCAAUUCCUUCGCCAGUGCUGGGUCAAAGACAGGCAAGGGCACCAGGGUUAGCCAUGAGUGUGUGCCAGGGGCUGAAUGCAAAACCCGGGAGCACUGGUGGCUGGGGCAGGUGGGCUGGGCUCUGCCACUGCCUCCCCCAGCCCACCCAAGAGGGGCGUGUGCCUCUGCAGGAAAUGGCCUCCAAGCAUUUCUCAAGACUUACGAGAUGUUCAAACCUACACAGUCAGAGACAAAGAGCUAGCUAUAAGUGGGGUCUUUUUCCCCUCCUCAAAAUUCAUCCUGCAGAAGUAGACAUGUGCUAAACAGUGCAUGGCCACACAAAUGCUUGGAUACCAAUGUUCACAGCAGCGUUGUCCUAAUGGCCCCAAAGUAGCAACAGCCCAAAUGUUUGUCAACUGAUGGAUGGAUAAACGAAGGCGGCCGGGCGCGGUGGCUCACACCUGUAAUCCCAGCACUUUGGGAGGCUGAGGCGGGUGGAUCACCUGAGGUCAGGAGUUUGAGACCAGCCUGACCAACAUGGAGAAACCCUGUCUCUAUUAAAAUACAAAAUUAGCCGGGCGUGGUGGCACAUGCCUGUAAU
rnacentral:lncRNA from 10 species